UACGUAGGGUGCAAGCGUUUAAUCGGAAUUACUGGGCGUAAAGCGUGCGCAGGCGGUUUUUGUAAGUCUGUCGUGAAAUCCCCCGGGCUCAACCUGGGAAUUGCGAUGGAGACUGCAAGGCUAGAAUCUGGCAGAGGGGGGGUAGAAUUCCACGUGUAGCAGUGAAAUGCGUAGAGAUGUGGAGGAACACCGAUGGCGAAGGCAGCCCCCUGGGUCAAGAUUGACGCUCAUGCACGAAAGCGUGGGGAGCAAACAGG
rnacentral:rRNA from 1 species